UUCUCACGAAUAAUGGGAUCGAUCGAUUAAACGUUUGCAGGAUAACAAGACAAAUUGAAAGGACGAUCCAAUUCGAAGAAUCCUUGCCAACCUACGUACGACUUACAAGGCACUUGACGGUGAAUAAUUUCUACUACCUCGCGUCAUCUAGAGGCUUUAUUUUUGCACGCAGGAAGUGAGCGACACCCAGUCACUUCGGUUACGGCAGUUACGACGGUUAUGACUGUCCUCCGGUGCGGCUCGGUAACCAAGGACGAGUUUCUAAUAAGCUCCAGACACUGAAGACCCUCGGAUACUAUAGAGGCAGCACAGCUGCGUCCUCGUGGCGGACGCUUCGCGGGACAAGACUCGAGGUUGCUUUGAUCUGACAAUUAUUGAAUCGCUAGGGGUAUCUGAUUCUCGUAAAAGCCCAAGGUAGAGGGGGCUAGCUAAGGCGAGUAGAGCAUUCCCUUGAUGAGGACGAUGAUGUCAUCGAGGACGUCAUCGUCAAGGAAUAGCGCACCGAUGUAAACGGCCUUAAGGGGAUCGUGUGUCUUUGCCAGAGCGGCAGGUGCAUCAUCUUCAAGCUGUUCACGUGUCUGAAGACACGUGACGGAAAAAGAGUCAUAGAUAUACCGUAAUAAUAUCUCAAGGAAUCCUGAGACCUCGUGGAAGUGAAUUCAACCGAUUGGUUCUUGGUAAACGGGCAUAAAGAAUUGACGUUAUGGCUAAGGAUACAGAAAGAAAUAUGGAGUCCGUAGGGUCGGCGGCCGCUCCUUGGUGAGAUUCCUCGUAAAUAUUGCAAUUUAAAUAAUUGGACGUCGUAAAGAUUAUAAUUGGUGCGAACGCGAUGUGAGAAAAGAGACAGUGGUGGCUCUGAGGGUUCACUGAUGUAUUACGGCAGUGCGUGACGACGUAUGCAAAAAUUUAUAGUGUCAAUUUAAAGAAAUUUGUCAAGUCGCGUUACGCCGGCAUUGGGGUCAAGUUGAAGAAUUCAUAUCUCGCAAUGAUCAUCAAGCAGCAGUCCGGGCGAAUCGAUCAUUGAAGAAUUCGUCUAGACAAAAGUAAUAAAUUUCAAAUAAAAUAUCCCAAAAUACGUAUUAAUUCCUGUAAAUCCAAACGACUACCGCUUUCGAGAUUAUGAUAUACGAAUUAAUUCUCCGUCCUCGUAGCCGACGUUUAUACCUAAAAAUGCAUGAGACCCAAAAUGGCUUGAGGGUCUCUCGACUGGAUCAUCGAAAAUAAAAAUUGGUAGCUGCUUU